rnacentral:rRNA from 1 species
GACGAACGCUGGCGGCGUGCUUAACACAUGCAAGUCGAACGGAAAGGCCCUGCGCUUGUGGGGUGCUCGAGUGGCGAACGGGGGAGUAACACGUGAGUAACCUCCCCUUGUCUUUGGGAUAACUUCACGAAACUGGGGCUAAUAUCGGAGAGGAUCUCCUGCAGCAUGGGGGUGGUUGGAAAGUUUCGGCCGUUGGGGAUGGACUCGCGGCUUAUCAGCUUGUUGGGGGAGUAGUUGCUGACAAAGGUUUUGACGGGUAGCCGGCCUGGGAGGGUGAACGGCCACCUUGGGCCUACGGUACGGACCAGACUCGUACGGGCGGCAGCGGUGGGGAAUCUUGCACAAUGGGCCGACGCCUGAUGCAGCAGCGCCGCGUUCGGGAUGCCGGCCUUCGGGUUAUAAACCGCUUUCGCCUGUGCCGAAGCGUGAGUGACGGUAAUGGGUAAAGAAGCACCGGCUAACUACGUG